AUACGGAGGAUCCGAGCGUUAUCCGAAUUUAUUGGGUUUAAAGGGUGCGCAGGCGGCCAUUUAAGUCAGCGGUUAAAUCGUGGGGCUCAACCCCAUUCUGCCGUUGAUACUGGGUGGCUUGAUUGCGGUCGAGGUUGGCGGAAUUCGUUGUGUAGCGGUGAAAUGCAUAGAUAUGACGAAGAACACCGAUUGCGUAGGCAGCUGACCAGACCGCAAAUGACGCUCAUGCACGAAAGUGCGGGGAUCGAACAGGAUUAGAUACCCUGGUAGUCCGCACAGUAAACGAUGAAUACUUGUUUUCGGCGAUAUAAUGUCGGAGGCAAAGCGAAAGCGAUAAGUAUUCCACCUGGGGAGUACGCCGGCAACGGUGAAACUCAAAUGAAUUGACGGGG
rnacentral:rRNA from 1 species